AUUGAACGCUGGCGGCAGGCCUAACACAUGCAAGUCGAACGAGUGGCGGACGGGUGAGUAAUGUCUGGGAAACUGCCUGAUGGAGGGGGAUAACUACUGGAAACGGUAGCUAAUACCGCAUACCAUCGGAUGUGCCCAGAUGGGAUUAGCUUUUGGGUGGGGUAACGGCUCACCAAGGCGACGAUCCCUAGCUGGUCUGAGAGGAUGACCGGCCACACUGGAACGGGGACACGGUCCAGACUCUAACGGGAGGCAGCAGUGGGGAAUAUUGCACAAUGGGCGCAAGCCUGAUGCAGCCAUGCCGCGUGUGUGAAGAAGGCCUUCGGGUUGUAAAGCACUUUCAGCGGGGAGGCGUUACCCGAAGAGGAAGCACCGGCUAACUCCGUGCCAGCAGCCGCGGUAAUUC
rnacentral:rRNA from 1 species